AUCUAAUGAUGUGGGCAUUUACAGAGCAAGUCCCUAAAACACUCACAUAUCUCGAAAAAGAGUUCCACAUCCAUCUGUGAAAAGCUAGUAAUGGCUCUCUAAAGCU